rnacentral:tRNA from 1 species
GCCUGGGUGGCUCAGUGGUUGAGCAUCUGCCUUCAGUUCAGGUCAUGAUCCCAGGGUCCUGGGAUAGAGUCCCACAUCAGGCU